ensembl:lncRNA
CAAUGCUCAACGACUCGUUUCAGGGGAAUUAUUAAGUUUACCCACAAAACCAGUACAAAUAACUCAGCGCUGACCUGCCGGAUGGCUUUGGAAGGGCAACCUCCCAGAGGGACGGCGUUGGGAGCUUAAUUAGAAUGUCAGGAGACACUUUCAAAGAAGUGUGAGAUGAGAGUCCACUCCAAUGGGAAACCUGAGCCGAUCGUCUUUCCCAGUUCAAGGAAAACUGUUGAAUGGGAUCAGACACAAGGAAUCACACCUUCUGCGGCGGCUGGUAGCAUCUCUGUAAGGUCAAGUCGUUGGUGACGGCCUCCCUGAAGCGGCAGCUGCUUGGUAUAAGGUUACGAUUUCACCUGCGCGCUGCAGUAAUGCAGGAACAGGCAAAGACAGGAAGCAGUGAAGAGCAGAGGAUGUGUUUUUGGUGAGCACUUCAUCUGUGUAUCUCAG